UACAACAUAAACGAAUAUUUGGGGAAGAGGAAAGAAAUUGAUAUUGAAAGUGAAACGCCCGAUGCAUCGUUUCUCAAUACAAGUUCAGACGCUUUCGGUUCAUCUUCAAUUUCAUCAUCAAUUUCUCUUUUCUUCUCAUCUUCAAUUUUGUCUUCUCCACUCAAAACAUCUUCUUUUCCACUGAACAAAACAUCAACUUCUCCGAUGCAAUCGGUACCUGAACCAACAGUUUCUCUUUUCCCUAACCUGAGGAAGCACAUCAUCAAUUUCAUCUAUUGGAUUUCCAUGUAAUUAUUUUGUUGUGGUGUUGAUGUGCUUAAUAUUGGAGGAGCCAAUGAAGCUGAAGUUGGUGACAAAAAUGAUACAGUAACAGAUGGAUUUCAGAAAUUGAAGAAGAUUAAGGACUCGAGUAGGCAGAGCCGGGAAUUGGAAGGGCUGGCGGGGAAAAUGCGAGAGAGUAAAGGAUCUGUGCUGAAAAUGUAUGAACCAGAAGAAAGAGGAAAAAUACAGUGUUCAAAGAAGGUAUGAGAAAUCUUCUGUUACUGUACCAAUUUGUCAUGGUGGAAUGAGUAUCGAUAAUUACAUAAUCAUUCAUCUGUAACAAAUUAUCGAGGAGGGUCUGAUUAUUGUAGCUCCCCGAGAAACGGUGAAAGAACUUGAACAGGUGGCUAAAUUUUACGUACGUUUAAUUUGUACAUAAAAUAUAUAUGGUGUUGCUUUCAAAAUGUUAUGGACAUAGCUAAUUGAUCAUUAUCUGAAGCUUUUCUUGCUUCAAGCAGCUAGCUGGCUUUCUUUUACCUUACUAUAUCAUGGCUUGGGCAAUCAGCGUUUUAUAUCACGACAUGCAUUAUACAUAUGUUGGCCUUAUAUGCUCUGAUAUUUUGUUUC